rnacentral:lncRNA from 1 species
UUUGCCAUCAGUAUGGAAUGGAAUUUUCAAUUUUUCGUACAGCAUUAUUAAUUGUUAAUUUUUCUCAAAAUUAAGGUAUGCUGAUUAUUUAAUUAAUUAAUUAAUUAAUUACCGAUUCGGCUUCGUCCAUGAAUUGUAGAAUCUGGAGCUCGAGCCAGGGAUCAUGAUCCUGCAAGAACUUCCAUCCUUCAGUUUUCUCAACGGCCUUGAAACGGCUGGCAGCCAGUUUCAUGCACCUGAGGUAAAGGUCCGGAGCAUCGCACAGCCUGGCCAGUUGAAGCACGUCCACCACAUUGUCAAUCGUCAGCCGUUCACCCAAACCUUUGGUACAUCUCUGCUUCAGCUGUGGCACUGAAUACACGUGUGACAGCGCCAGUAGGUGGAUCCCGUAUUUCUCCAUUUCCUCCUCCGUGCACCUGAACCAGGGGAACACCUCAGUCACUUGAUAUAAACUUAAAAUAUCUAAACCAAUCACACUGCUCCAGCGAAUUCGGAGAAACCAGUUCUAGGUUACUUUAACUAAUUCUAUUUUUCUUCAUGACACGUGCAAAAGGUUGGUUCAAACAAAUUCUAUAAGUUCAAGGAAGGAUAUCCAGAGCCGUCUUUGUAGACCGAAGAGCUGAGAGCCGUCAGAUCAAACCACGUGGAAGUUAAAGAAUGAAAUGGGCGGCAGACAAAUAAUUAACAAAAAAAAAAAAUUACCUGGACGUGUAGAGGAAUCCAACGAACGAUGACACGGCGCCGCAUGGAACGCCGAGAAUCG